GGCUGGUCUUAAUGUAGUGAGUUAUCUCAAUGGAUUGUUCACACAGUAAGUUACAGAUUGUACUCCUUAUUCCACCCUUUUCCCGCUUUUCACGACUGCGGUUGACUAGUCUUAA
ensembl:misc_RNA Y_RNA Y RNA